rnacentral:lncRNA from 1 species
CUCAUUUCAGGUUUCAUAAAUAAAAAGAAAAUUUCUUCAAACAUUUUUUUGAGAGAAUUAAUAUUCAACAGCAUAGUGAAUUGCUCAAAGGCAAAAAAAAAAUUUAAGUUCAUUAGACCACAUUCAUUCUGUGUCAGAAACCUUUGCUGUGUCAACUAUUUAAUCACAAUCAAAAUUUAGAGCUGAAUCUAGCUUGAAUGUUGUGUCCAUACUUGCCCCAACCGUUCAGGGUUCAAAUUCUGCGGUUGUAUAAAGCUGUGCCCU